rnacentral:rRNA from 1 species
AGCGGCGGACGGGUGAGUAACGCGUGGGUAACCUGCCCUAUACCCACGGAUAACAUACCGAAAGGUAUGCUAAUACGAGAUAAUAUGCUUUUAUCGCAUGGUAGAAGUAUCAAAGCUUUUGCGGUACAGGAUGGACCCGCGUCUGAUUAGCUAGUUGGUAAGGUAACGGCUUACCAAGGCGACGAUCAGUAGCCGACCUGAGAGGGUGAUCGGCCACAUUGGAACUGAGACACGGUCCAAACUCCUACGGGAGGCAGCAGUGGGGAAUAUUGCACAAUGGGCGAAAGCCUGAUGCAGCAACGCCGCGUGAGCGAUGAAGGCCUUCGGGUCGUAAAGCUCUGUCCUCAAGGAAGAUAAUGACGGUACUUGAGGAGGAAGCCCCGGCUAACUACGUGCCAGCAGCCGCGGUAAUACGUAGGGGGCUAGCGUUAUCCGGAAUUACUGGGCGUAAAGGGUGCGUAGGUGGUUUCUUAAGUCAGAGGUGAAAGGCUACGGCUCAACCGUAGUAAGCCUUUGAAACUGGGAAACUUGAGUGCAGGAGAGGAGAGUGGAAUUCCUAGUGUAGCGGUGAAAUGCGUAGAUAUUAGGAGGAACACCAGUUGCGAAGGCGGCUCUCUGGACUGUAUCUGACACUGAGGCACGAAAGAGGGCAGAAAGGUGGGGGGAAAAUACGCUGAUAUUCCCCGGCGUCCCGAUGAGUACUAGCUGU